CUAGCAAUAGGAGGUGCAG
rnacentral:piRNA from 1 species